GACGUAGGGCGCGAGCGUUGUCCGGAUUUAUUGGGCGUAAAGAGCUCGUAGGCGGCUUGUCGCGUCGACUGUGAAAACCCGGGGCUCAACCCCGGGCCUGCAUUCGAUACGGGCAGACUAGAGUUCGGUAGGGGAGUCUGGAAUUCCUGGUGUAGCGGUGAAAUGCGCAGAUAUCAGGAGGAACACCGGUGGCGAAGGCGGGACUCUGGGCCGAUACUGACGCUGAGGAGCGAAAGCGUGGGGAGCGAACAGG
rnacentral:rRNA from 1 species